rnacentral:tRNA from 1 species
AAAUAAGAAACAUAUAUAUAUAUAAUGUAUUCAGUUUCGACCUGAAAAAAGGUAUUUAUACCCUUAUUUA